rnacentral:rRNA from 1 species
UACGGAGGGGACUAGCGUUGUUCGGAAUUACUGGGCGUAAAGGGCGCGUAGGCGGUGUGUCAAGUCAGGCGUGAAAGCCCCGGGCUCAACCUGGGAACCGCGCUUGAGACUGGCACGCUCGAGUUCGGGAGAGGAUGGUGGAAUUCCCAGUGUAGAGGUGAAAUUCGUAGAUAUUGGGAAGAACACCGAUGGCGAAGGCAGCCAUCUGGACCGACACUGACGCUGAGGCGCGAAAGCGUGGGGAGCAAACAGG